rnacentral:rRNA from 1 species
UCUCUGAUGGCGAGUGGCGAACGGGUGAGUAACAUAUCGGAACGUGCCUAGUAAUGGGGGACAACAUGGUGAAAACCAUGCUAAUACCGCAUACGCCCUACGGGGGAAAGCGGGGGAUCUUCGGACCUCGCGCUAAUAGAUGAGCCUGCGUUAGAUUAGCUUGUUGGUGGGGUAAAGGCCUACCAAGGCGACGAUCUAUAGCUGUUCUGAGAGGAAGAUCAGCCACACUGGGACUGAGACACGGCCCAGACUCC